rnacentral:misc_RNA from 1 species
AAAGCCCUCGGGGAAGAUUCAAUAACAUCAUCAUCAUCAAUAGCCUCAACAUCGAUUGUAGCAGGUGGUACAGGCUGCCCUUGUUGACUUGCUUCCUCUCCAUGUUGCACACCCUCAGUUGAAGUUCCUUCCUGAUCCCUGUUUUCACUUGGAGGCACAUUCAAGUCAAGCAUUGCCUUCCUCCUGCGAUACCCCCUUAAGGUAGGGCCCCUCACUCCCUGAGCCUGAGUACUCAUGCUCUAUCUAUAAUCUUGCUAUCAAAAUUUCCAGCUUUCAACACCUUCAAUCUAACACUCGCAAACCAAAUCGAUUAGCGUAUACGCAUAAAAGAUCGAUGAUCAGAAAGAUAUUGAAUUCUUCGUCGUCCAAUUUCUAGGGUUUAAAACAGGGAUUCAGGGAAGGAAAGGACGAAGAAAAAACCGAAGGGUACG